AUGAGGGCCCCCACUCAGCUCCUCAGUCUCCUGCUGCUCUGGCUCCCAGGUGCCGAACGUGACAUCCAGAUGACCCAGUCUCCAUCCUCUGUGUCUGCAUCUCUAAGAGAAAGAGUCACCAUCUCUUGCCGGGCCAGUCAAAGCAUUAGCAAAUAUUUAGCCUGGUAUCAGCAGAAACCAGGGAAAGCUCCUAAGCUCCUGAUCUAUGGUGCAUCCAAUUUGGAAACUGGGGUCCCAUCCCGGUUCACUGGCAGUGGAUCUGGGACAGAUUUCACCCUCACCAUCAACAGCCUAGAGGCUCAAGAUGCUGCAACUUAUUACUGUCAACAGUAUGAUGAAAUACCUCCCACAGUGUUACAAACCAGAACGUAA